GCUUACGGCCACACUGCCUUAAAAGCACGACAUAGCGUCCAAAUUGUCAAGCUAAGCAAUGUUGGGCAUGCUUAGUACUUGGAUCGGAGACGGCUUGGGAAUCCAAAAAUUGAAGUAAGCA
rnacentral:rRNA from 1 species